GAGCCUUGGUGGCCUAAAAUGCGUACUGUCAAAGAGCUGAUAGAAACAUGCACCAUUAUCAUCUGGGUGGCUUCUGCUCUCCAUGCUGCAGUGAAUUUCGGGCAGUACCCUUAUGCAGGCUACCUCCCAAACCGCCCAACGAUAAGCCGCAGAUUCAUCCCUGAAGAAGGCACUCCUGAGUAUGAAGAACUCAAGUCCAAUCCUGAUAAGGCUUUCCUGAAAACAAUCACUGCCCAGCUGCAGACCCUUCUUGGCAUCUCCCUUAUUGAGGUCCUUUCCAGGCAUUCUUCCGAUGAGGUUUAUCUUGGACAGAGAGACACUCCUGAAUGGACCCUGGACACAACACCAUUGAAAGCUUUUGAGAAAUUCGGAAGGAAGCUGGCAGACAUUGAAGAAAUGAUCAUAGAUAGAAAUGGAAAUGAGAGAUUCAAGAACAGAGUUGGGCCUGUGAAGAUACCAUACACACUGCUCUACCCCACAAGCGAAGGUGGGCUUACUGGCAAAGGGAUUCCCAACAGUGUCUCCAUCUAAAUUUUCCUGGAAAAUCAUGAGCACACUGCUGAUCAAGAUGGCUUAAAUGCACAUUGCUAAUAUAGUAUACUGUAAUUUAUAAUACCUAUUUUUCGACUUUGUAGGAUUCAUAUUGAUGCAUAUAUUUAUAAUAAGGAAUUAUUUAUUGCUAGAAAAUUGGGAGCUUUUCACUUUUUUUAUGAUCUGUGCCACACUUAAUGUUAAAAGAUGAAGGUGAAGUAGCAAAACAGUUGAUCUGAAUGCGCAGCCAUUGAUAUCAGGAAUCAAAGUCAGAUGGUGCAAAUGCUCUCAAAACAUCCACCCUCCCACAAAAUUAUCUAUAAUUUACAUGUUAACAAGAACUCAAGAGUGAGUAAGAAACUAUGUUGAGAAAUACUUUCUGAAACCACUGAGGAAAGUGUCCAUUUGAAGAAGUGUGAGACUCUUACCUAAGAAGUGUCUGUAGAUUUGAAUAGUAACUGCCAAUAUCUCUAUCAAAUCUUUAUUAUUACAUGUAUUAGAUUUUGAUAUGAUGCUUGGAUAGUAUGCCUAUAAACAAAUGCAUCCCCGAGCUUCUUCUUUGUAUAUUCUUCUGCUCUCACAUUCUUGGCUUUCUUCUGCUUAGCUUUGUUGUUGUUGUUGAAGAAGAAGAGAUGUUUGUUCAAUUGUUAGUGCCAUUACUGGUAAAAAUGAUAAGAAGAAGACAAGGGAGCAGUUGUGCUGAUGAGAAGAAUGUGUUGGAUUUAAUGACUUCAAUACAUCGGCUCUGGACCGGGUUCAUGAGCUCUUAGGACAGGGAGUCUCUCUGCAGCUAGAAUUUUGACUCGUGUAGACAGACAUAGAAUCAAACUGAAUUUAUUGAUCAUUACAUAAUUGGAUUAAGAGCUAUAUAUUCUUCUUGUUG
rnacentral:lncRNA from 1 species